CCCUACGGGAGGCAGCAGUGGGGAAUUUUGGACAAUGGGCGCAAGCCUGAUCCAGCAAUGCCGCGUGAGUGAAGAAGGUCUUCGGAUUGUAAAGCCCUUUCGGCGGGGACGAUGGUGACGGUACCCGCAGAAGAAGCCCCGGCCAACUUCGUG
rnacentral:rRNA from 1 species